UACGAAGGGGGCUAGCGUUGCUCGGAAUCACUGGGCGUAAAGCGCACGUAGGCGGCUUUUUAAGUCAGGGGUGAAAUCCUGGAGCUCAACUCCAGAACUGCCUUUGAUACUGAGGAGCUCGAGUCCGGGAGAGGUGAGUGGAACUGCGAGUGUAGAGGUGAAAUUCGUAGAUAUUCGGAAGAACACCAGUGGCGAAGGCGGCUCACUGGUCCGGUACUGACGCUGAGGUGCGAAAGCGUGGGGAGCAAACAGG
rnacentral:rRNA from 1 species